GACGAACGCUGGCGGCGUGCCUAAUACAUGCAAGUUGAGCGCUGAAGGUUGGUACUUGUACCAACUGGAUGAGCAGCGAACGGGUGAGUAACGCGUGGGGAAUCUGCCUUUGAGCGGGGGACAACAUUUGGAAACGAAUGCUAAUACCGCAUAAAAACUUUAAACACAAGUUUUAAGUUUGAAAGAUGCAAUUGCAUCACUCAAAGAUGAUCCCGCGUUGUAUUAGCUAGUUGGUGAGGUAAAGGCUCACCAAGGCGAUGAUACAUAGCCGACCUGAGAGGGUGAUCGGCCACAUUGGGACUGAGACACGGCCCAAACUCCUACGGGAGGCAGCAGUAGGGAAUCUUCGGCAAUGGAGGAAAGUCUGACCGAGCAACGCCGCGUGAGUGAAGAAGGUUUUCGGAUCGUAAAACUCUGUUGGUAGGGAAGAACGUUGGUGAGAGUGGAAAGCUCAUCAAGUGACGGUAACUACCCAGAAAGGGACGGCUAACUACGUG
rnacentral:rRNA from 1 species